UAGGGAAUAUUGGACAAUGGGCGCAAGCCUGAUCCAGCCAUGCCGCGUGAGUGAAGAAGGCCUUCGGGUUGUAAAGCUCUUUUGUCCGGAAAGAAAAGCUUCGGGUUAAUACCCUGGAGUCCUGACGGUACCGGAAGAAUAAGCACCGGCUAACUUCGUGCCAGCAGCCGCGGUAAUACGAAGGGUGCAAGCGUUACUCGGAAUUACUGGGCGUAAAGCGUGCGUAGGUGGUUUGUUAAGUCUGAUGUGAAAGCCCUGGGCUCAACCUGGGAAUGGCAUUGGAUACUGGCAGGCUAGAGUGCGGUAGAGGGUAGUGGAAUUCCCGGUGUAGCAGUGAAAUGCGUAGAGAUCGGGAGGAACAUCUGUGGCGAAGGCGACUACCUGGACCAGCACUGACACUGAGGCACGAAAGCGUGGGGAGCAAACAGG
rnacentral:rRNA from 1 species